rnacentral:rRNA from 1 species
AGUUUCUUCUAGCUCGGCUCGGCGUCCACACAGGUGCUGCAUGGCUGUCGUCAGCUCGUGUCGUGAGAUGUUGGUUAAGUCCGCAACGAGCGCAACCUCGCCUUCAGUUGCCAUCAUUCAGUUGGGCACUCUGAAGGAACUGCCGGUGACAAGCCGGAGGAAGGUGGGGAUGACGUCAAGUCCUCAUGGCCCUUACAGGUGGGGCUACACACGUGCUACAAUGGCGACCACAGAGGGGAGCGACCCUGCGAGGGGCAGCCAAUCUCGAAAAGUCGUCUCAGUUCGGAUUGCACUCUGCAACUCGAGUGCAUGAAGUCGGAAUCGCUAGUAAUCGUGAAUCAGAAUGUCACGGUGAAUACGUUCCCGGGCCUU